GUAGGUGGCAAGCGUUGUCCGGAAUUAUUGGGCGUAAAGCGCGCGCAGGCGGUUCUUUAAGUCUGAUGUGAAAGCCCACGGCUCAACCGUGGAGGGUCAUUGGAAACUGGAGAACUUGAGUACAGAAGAGGAAAGCGGAAUUCCACGUGUAGCGGUGAAAUGCGUAGAGAUGUGGAGGAACACCAGUGGCGAAGGCGGCUUUCUGGUCUGUAACUGACGCUGAGGCGCGAAAGCGUGGGGGGCAAACAGGGAUUAGAUACCCUGGUAGUCCACGCCGUAAACGAUGAGUGCUAAGUGUUAGGGGGUUUCCCGCCCCUUAGUGCUGCAGCUAACGCAUUAAGCACUCCGCCUGGGGAGUACGGCCGCAAGGCUG
rnacentral:rRNA from 1 species